rnacentral:sRNA from 1 species
CUGAGUGCCUGCCUGGUGACCCUUUGGGGGCUAGGAGAGCCGCCAGAGCACACUCUCCAGUGCCUGGUGCUCCACCUAGCCUCCCUGCAGCUGGGACUGCUGUUAAACGGGGUCUGCAGCCUGGCCGAGGAGCUGCGCCACAUCCACUCCAGGUACCGGGGCAGCUACUGGAGGACUGUGCGGGCCUGCCUGGGCUGCCCCCUCCGCCGUGGGGCCCUGUUGCUGCUAUCCAGCUAUUUCUACUACUCCCUCCCAAAUGCGGUCAGCGUGCCCUUCACUUGGAUGCUUGCCCUCCUGGGCCUCUCGCAGGCACUGAACAUCCUCCUGGGCCUCAAGGGACUGGCCCCAGCUGAGAUCUCUGCAGUCUGUGAAAAAGGGAAUUUCAACGUGGCCCAUGGGCUGGCAUGGUCAUAUUACAUCGGAUAUCUGCGGCUGAUCCUGCCAGGGAUCCAGGCCCGGAUUCGAACUUACAAUCAGCAUUACAACAACCUGCUAUGGGGUGCAGUGAGCCAGCGGCUGUAUAUUCUCCUCCCAUUGGACUGUGGGGUGCCUGAUAACCUGAGUAUGGCUGAUCCCAACAUUCGCUUCCUGGAUAAACUGCCCCAGCAGACCGCUGACCGUGCUGGCAUCAAGGAUCGGGUUUACAGCAACAGCAUCUAUGAACUUCUGGAGAACGGGCAGCGGAACCUGCAGAUGACAGCAGCUUCUCGCUGUCCCAGGAGGUUCUCCGGCACCUGCGGCAGGAGGAAAAGGAAGAGGUUACUGUGGGCAGCUUGAAGACCUCAGCGGUGCCCAGUACCUCCAUGAUGUCCCAAGAGCCUGAGCUCCUCAUCAGCGG